UGGCGAUGAUGUUGAACAUUUUAUACCAUCAAACGAUGAAAGCCUGUUAAAUCGGCUUGUUGAUGUUCAGUUAUCAAUCUCUGAGCCU
rnacentral:snoRNA from 1 species